UACGUAGGGUGCGAGCGUUGUCCGGAAUUAUUGGGCGUAAAGGGCUCGUAGGCGGUUUGUCGCGUCGGGAGUGAAAACAUCUGGCUUAACUGGGUGCUUGCUUUCGAUACGGGCAGACUAGAGGUAUGCAGGGGAGAACGGAAUUCCUGGUGUAGCGGCGAAAUGCGCAGAUAUCAGGAGGAACACCGGUGGCGAAGGCGGUUCUCUGGGCAUGACCUGACGCUGAGGAGCGAAAGUGUGGGGAGCGAACAGG
rnacentral:rRNA from 1 species